rnacentral:rRNA from 1 species
AACGAACGCUGGCGGCAGGCCUAACACAUGCAAGUCGAGCGCCCUUUCGGGGGCGCGGCGGACGGGUGAGUAACGCGUGGGAAUAUGCCCUUCUCUACGGAAUAGCCUCGGGAAACUGAGAGUAAUACCGUAUACGCCCUAUGGGGGAAAGAUUUAUCGGGGAAGGAUUAGCCCGCGUUGGAUUAGGUAGUUGGUGGGGUAAUGGCCUACCAAGCCGACGAUCCAUAGCUGGUUUGAGAGGAUGAUCAGCCACACUGGGACUGAGACACGGCCCAGACUCCUACGGGAGGCAGCAGUGGGGAAUCUUAGACAAUGGGGGCAACCCUGAUCUAGCCAUGCCGCGUGAGUGAUGAAGGCCUUAGGGUUGUAAAGCUCUUUCAGCUGGGAAGAUAAUGACGGUACCAGCAGAAGAAGCCCCGGCUAACUCCGUG